GAUCAUGGCAUAUAAUUUUAGGAACAGGAACUUAUUAAAUACCAGGGGUGCUUAUUUGGGAUCAAGUGGUUCGGAUAGUGAAAGCCAAGAUGAUUCGGACCCUGAUUUUUUGACACCCUCUAGGACUCCUAGGAGGUCAACCCAGAACAAUACUGCAAGAGCUGGUGGUGCAAGUUCUAUCAGGAAUUUAAGUGGGAAGCGAGCAAGGGGCAAUGGGGAAGAACAUAGGCGAGGACUGAGAGAGAGACAUAGGAGGAGGAGGAAGAGAUUUUCCCAGGUGCCUCAAGCACAAAUAAGCAGGAGAACAGUGUUGUCUUGGUUGAUAGGGUCGGGUGUAAUUGAAGAAAAGGAAGUAGUUUGGUAUGUUGCUGCACAGUCAGGGAAUAUACUUGGAGAAGGCAAAGUGAAUAGGGAAGGCAUUUUAUGUAGCUGUUGUUCUGGUCAGCUAACAGUGGAGGAAUUUGAGGUUCAUUCAGGGCGUAAAACCAGGAAGCCUUAUCAACAUAUAUACUUGGCAGGGUCUCAGGUUUCCUUGUUGGAUUGCCAAAUAGAAGCAUGGGAAGAUAAGGAAGAGGAAGAAAGGCGUACAUUCAAUAACAUCCAGCCUGCAUCCAAUGUUGACAGAAAUGAUGAUGCCUGUAUGGUCUGUGCUGAUGGUGGGGAUUUGAUUUGCUGCGAAAGAUGUCCCUCAACAUUUCAUCCCAGGUGUAUUUUCAUGGAGAUUAUUCCCCAAGGUGAUUGGCUAUGUCCAUACUGUAUCUGCAAAUACUGUGGCAAUGGCAAUGGCCCUUUGAUGCAGUGUAGCCAAUGUGAAAAAAAAUGUAAGUAGUACUUAAUUUAACCCAAACUCUAUGGAAGGAUUUCAACCAUUGCUCUUUGUUUACAGAUCAUUUCAGGUGUGGAGGAGAAACGUUGGAUCUGAUGAAUCCUCCAGUUGCCUUCUGUGGAAGUAGUUGCAGAAAGAUAUAUGAAGGGUUACAUAAUUUGCUGGGAUCACAAAAUGAGCUCCACGAUGGCCUUACUUGGACUCUGCUCCAACGCACAGAUGAGCCAUUCACUGGUUCCUAUGGAGAAGAGGAGUACAAGAGAAUACAGUGCAACUCCAAGAUUGCUGUGGCGUGGCUGGUAAUGAACGAGUGUUUCCUGUCUACCGUUGACCGCCAUACAAGAGCCAAUAUCGUCCAAAGCAUUGUGUACAAUCGAGGGUCCUACGUGACCCGAAUUAACUACAGUGGAUUUUAUACUGCUAUCCUAGAAAAGAAUGAUGAAAUCAUCAGUGUGGCAUCAAUAAGGGUGCAUGGAAAAAGGUUGGCAGAGAUGCCUUUCAUUGGAACCCGUGGGGAAUAUAGGCGGCUAGGGAUGGCUUACGUACUGGAAAACUGUAUUGAAUCGACACUUUGCUCAUUAAAAGUGGAGAAGCUGGUGAUUCCAUCGGUGAGUCAACUGACGGGCAUGUGGAUGGACAAGUAUUUUUUCUCCAGGGUGCAAGAGGAGCGUUUGGUGAAGGAGCUCUCCCUCUACAACACCGUCAUGUUCCCUAGCUCUGUAGUAAGGCUCCACAAGAACUUGGCAAUGCUCCCUGAUUUGAACUUAUCUCCUCAAGAAAACGAGGGCCAUUUCUAAGUGACUUGAUGUGGCCUGCUUCAGUCUCAACUAUACAUGUGUUUUUUUUCUUAUACAGACAUUAUAUGUUAUCCCUUAUUUUUGAAUUCCAGUAUUUUGUAUAAGGGUUGCAGUUUUCACAUUAUUUAUGGUCUUACUCUUCUCAGAUUU